CAGGGAUUGCCCUAGUAACGGCGAGUGAAGCGGCAACAGCUCAAAUUUGAAAUCUGGCUCUUUCAGAGUCCGAGUUGUAAUUUGCAGAGGGCGCUUUGGCUUUGGCAGCGGUCCAAGUUCCUUGGAACAGGACGUCACAGAGGGUGAGAAUCCCGUACGUGGUCGCUAGCUAUUGCCGUGUAAAGCCCCUUCGACGAGUCGAGUUGUUUGGGAAUGCAGCUCUAAAUGGGAGGUAAAUUUCUUCUAAAGCUAAAUAUUGGCCAGAGACCGAUAGCGCACAAGUAGAGUGAUCGAAAGAUGAAAAGCACUUUGGAAAGAGAGUCAAACAGCACGUGAAAUUGUUGAAAGGGAAGCGCUUGCAGCCAGACUUGCUUGCAGUUGCUCAUCCGGGCUUUUGCCCGGUGCACUCUUCUGCAGGCAGGCCAGCAUCAGUUUGGGCGGUGGGAUAAAGGUCUCUGUCACGUACCUUCCUUCGGGUUGGCCUUAUAGGGGAGACGCCAUACCACCAGCCUGGACUGAGGUCCGCGCAUCUGCUAGGAUGCUGGCGUAAUGGCUGUAAGCGGCCCGUCUUGAAACACGGACCAAGGAGUCUAACAUCUAUGCGAGUGUUUGGGUGUCAAGCCCGAGCGCGUAAUGAAAGUGAACGGAGGUGGGAACCCGCAAGGGUGCACCAUCGACCGAUCCUGAAGUUUACGGAAGGAUUUGAGUAAGAGCAUGGCUGUUGGGACCCGAAAGAUGGUGAACUAUGCUUGAAUAGGGUGAAGCCAGAGGAAACUCUGGUGGAGGCUCGCAGCGGUUCUGACGUGCAAAUCGAUCGUCAAAUUUGGGCAUAGGGGCGAAAGACU
rnacentral:rRNA from 1 species